UUAUUUUAUUGGAUGGGGUGGGAGUGGAGAAAACACAAUAACUUUUUAGGGUCGAGCAAAUGAAACAAUGGGAAUUUAUGAAAAAUGAUCAGCCGCACAGGGUAUGUAUGCUAGGACUCUCAAUUUCAGGAAAAUCAUCCCAAUACAAUGUGGCCCUACCCCAGCUCCUUCUGUGUGGUUUUUUUUUUUUUUUUUUUUGGAGGUGGUGUCAUCUAUAAGUCUCCAUGGGGGCAACCAGGCACAGGGUCUGCUACCAGCUGAGUGUCAAUCAAGGUCAGGGUCUUCAGGAGUGAUGCUAAAGUAAAUUCCAGAGUGUUCAUUGGAGAUCAAGACCCGCGAAAGGAGCGGGAGGAGGAGAAGAAGAUGGACAGAAGAAGAAGGUGAACUUCCAACGGACAAUAGCAUUUCGGGUCAUCCCUGAGCUCUCAGGAAGGAAUAUAGGGAAUAUGCCUACCAGAGAGUCACAGGUCCAGGAGAAAGGAGCAGGCCAUUGUGUCCAUCUGGCUUGACCACGAAAUAAAGUGGCCUUGGGAAGAAUGGACUUCAGGCAGAGGGAUUUUCGUGCUGGUUGUGGGCUAUACUCUCUGCAGGGGGUGGCCCUCUGGGCUUAAAGGGGUUCUUGCAUGAUGAAAUCAGGGGGCUCUCUUUCCAGAAGGAAAAUGCAAAUACGCCCACUGGUAAAUAUGUUGCAGACAAUUUCGUAGGGUUCAUGAAUGUUCCCAGAUCCUCCAAGGCUCUUAUCAUAGAUAAUCCAAAUUAUAUUUUAUCUGCAUCGAAUUUCAUUGUUUUCUAUUCAAAUUUGCAACCCACUGUAUUUCCAUGAAAAGUCAAGAUUAAAUGAUUCUGGGGACUUAA